rnacentral:rRNA from 1 species
AACGCUAGCUACAGGCUUAACACAUGCAAGUCGAGGGGAAACGAUAUUGGAAGCCUGCUUCCGAUAGGCGUCGACCGGCGCACGGGUGAGUAACGCGUAUCCAACCUGCCCAUCACUUGGGGAUAACCUUGCGAAAGUAAGACUAAUACCCAAUGACGUCUCUAGAAGACAUCUGAAAGGGAUUAAAGAUUUAUCGGUGAUGGAUGGGGAUGCGUCUGAUUAGCUUGUUGGCGGGGUAACGGCCCACCAAGGCGACGAUCAGUAGGGGUUCUGAGAGGAAGGUCCCCCACAUUGGAACUGAGACACGGUCCAAACUCCUACGGGAGGCAGCAGUGAGGAAUAUUGGUCAAUGGACGAGAGUCUGAACCAGCCAAGUAGCGUGCAGGAAGACGGCCCUAUGGGUUGUAAACUGCUUUUAUAAGGGAAUAAAGUGAGUCUCGUGAGACUUUUUGCAUGUACCUUAUGAAUAAGGACCGGCUAAUUCCGUGCCAGCAGCCGCGGUAAUACGGAAGGUCCAGGCGUUAUCCGGAUUUAUUGGGUUUAAAGGGAGCGUAGGCCGGAGAUUAAGCGUGUUGUGAAAUGUAGAUGCUCAACAUCUGAACUGCAGCGCGAACUGGUUUCCUUGAGUACACACAAAGUGGGCGGAAUUCGUGGUGUAGCGGUGAAAUGCUUAGAUGUCACGAAGAACUCCGAUUG